rnacentral:lncRNA from 1 species
CCUUGCUGGAUGCGGGCACUCUCUACACCUUCAGGAAUAUGAGCUCCUGGUGCUGCCCGAGGCCUUCACCAUCCAUCUGCCCCACGCUCCAAGCCUGGACAUCUCCCGCUUCCGCUCCAGCCCCACCUAUCGUGACUGCCUCCAGGCCCUCAAGGACGAAUUCCACCAGGACUUGUCCCGCCACCAUGGGGCUGCUGCCCUCAAAUACCUCCCAGCCCUGCAGCAGCCCCAGAGCCCUGCCCGAGGCUGAGGCUGGGCCGGCGCUGCCCCUCAUCUUAGCAUUGGGCAGACACCAGGGCAACCUGCCCUCCGCCAUCCCUGCUAUUUAAAUUAUUUAAGGUCUCUGGGAAGGGCUGGGGCAGAGCAUCUGUGGGGUGGGGUCUUCCCCUUGCUGCUAUUGUAUGGCUGGGGACUGGUCUCUCUCUGCCCCAGCCAGUUUGGGGCUGGUUCCCCCAUCUUGAAUUGUUUAUCCCUUUUUCAUAAUUAAAGUUUUAAAACAUC